UUGACCUCGGAUCAGGUAGGAAUACCCGCUGAACUUAAGCAUAUCAGAUAAG
rnacentral:rRNA from 1 species